rnacentral:rRNA from 1 species
UACAGAGGGUGCGAGCGUUGUCCGGAAUCACUGGGCGUAAAGGGCGCGUAGGUGGUGGCUUAAGCGUGCGGUGAAAGCUCGGGGCUCAACUCCGAGUCGGCCGUGCGAACUGGGCUCACUGGAGCAUAGUAGAGGCAGGUGGAAUUCCGGGUGUAGCGGUGAAAUGCGUAGAGAUGUGGAGGAACACCAAUGGCGAAGGCAGCCUCUGGGCCAACACUGACGCUCAUGCACGAAAGCGUGGGGAGCAAACAGG